rnacentral:lncRNA from 1 species
ACUCUUGGAGAAGCAUUAGUGGAACAUGAAAGGUCAUCAAUGAGUGACCUUUUGACCCUUGAUUGUGUUGGUAGAAAAGAAGGGUUUUUUUGGUUUGAAACAACAAUAACAACAUCUGAGGUUGUUUGUUUUUUGGUUAGAACAGUUGAUUGAAGCUUGGUUUUCUUGUCUGCAGAGAAACCCUUAACAAUGUUAGCACCCCAUGAAGAUGCUAACUUUGGCUUCAAAUGAUUGUUGUUGGUUCCUUUAACAUUUGGAGGCUUUGGGGGUUGGUUUUGAUCUGAAAAUUUUGUAGCUUUGGACUUGUUCUCACAUGGGUUAUCUUCCCUCAUUGCAAAAAUUGAAGCUUUGCACAAAACUCAC